UAGGGAAUCUUCGGCAAUGGACGGAAGUCUGACCGAGCAACGCCGCGUGAGUGAAGAAGGUUUUCGGAUCGUAAAGCUCUGUUGUAAGAGAAGAACGAGUGUGAGAGUGGAAAGUUCACACUGUGACGGUAUCUUACCAGAAAGGGACGGCUAACUACGUGCCAGCAGCCGCGGUAAUACGUAGGUCCCGAGCGUUGUCCGGAUUUAUUGGGCGUAAAGCGAGCGCAGGCGGUUAGAUAAGUCUGAAGUUAAAGGCUGUGGCUUAACCAUAGUACGCUUUGGAAACUGUUUAACUUGAGUGCAAGAGGGGAGAGUGGAAUUCCAUGUGUAGCGGUGAAAUGCGUAGAUAUAUGGAGGAACACCGGUGGCGAAAGCGGCUCUCUGGCUUGUAACUGACGCUGAGGCUCGAAAGCGUGGGGAGCAAACAGGAUUAGAUACCCUGGUAGUCCACGCCGUAAACGAUGAGUGCUAGGUGUUAGACCCUUUCCGGGGUUUAGUGCCGCAGCUAACGCAUUAAGCACUCCGGCCUGGGGAGUACGACCGCAAGGUUG
rnacentral:rRNA from 1 species